GAGGGUGUAGCUCAGCAGUAGAGCACGUGCUUAGCACGCACAAGGUCCUGUGUUCAAUCCCCAGUACCUCCA
rnacentral:tRNA from 1 species